AAAUUNNGAANUNNUGCCUUNCCNNGGGUCCGAGUUGUAAUUUGCAGAGAGUGCUUCGGNNGAGGCCNNCGGUNUAAGUCCNGCUGGAACAUGGUGUCAUAGAGGGUGAGAACCCCGUACGCGACCGUGGUUCCGAGUCCCAUGUGAAGCCUUUUCGAUGAGUCGAGUUGUUUGGGAAUGCAGCUCUAAGUGGGUGGUAAAUUUCAUCUAAAGCUAAAUACUGGCUGGAGACCGAUAGCGCACAAGUAGAGUGAUCGAAAGAUGAAAAGCACUUUGAAAAGAGAGUUAAAAAGUACGUGAAAUUGUUGAAAGGGAAGCGCUUGCGACCAGACCUGCCCGUAGGCGAUCAGCCUCUGUUCUCAGGGGUGCACUCGCUCUACGAUCAGGCCAGCAUCGGUUUGGGCGGUCGGAUAAAGGCCUUGGGAAUGUAGCUCCCUCUCGGGGGAGUCUUAUAGCCCUCGGUGCAAUGCGGCCAGCCGGGACCGAGGACCGCGCUUCGGCUAGGAUGCUGGCGUAAUGGUUGCAAGCGACCCGUCUUGAAACACGGACCAAGGAGUCUAACAUCUAUGCGAGUGUUUGGGCGUCAAACCCAUACGCGGAAUGAAAGUGAACGGAGGUGAGAACCCUUAAGGGCGCAUCAUCGACCGAUCCAGAUGUCUUCGGAUGGAUUUGAGUAUGAGCAUAGCUGUUGGGACCCGAAAGGUAAGGCUAGCCCCCCCUCGAUGUCGAAACCGCAAGCUAAUGCGUUGGAUAGAUGGUGAACUAUGCCUGAAUAGGGUGAAGCCAGAGGAAACUCUGGUGGAGGCUCGCAGCGGUUCUGACGUGCAAAUCGAUCGUCAAAUUUGGGUAUAGGGGUACGUG
rnacentral:rRNA from 1 species